rnacentral:rRNA from 1 species
AGGACGAACGCUGGCGGCGCGCCUAACACAUGCAAGUCGAACGAGAAAUGAAGAGCUUGCUCUUCAAAUCGAGUGGCGAACGGGUGAGUAACGCGUGAGGAACCUGCCUCAAAGAGGGGGACAACAGUUGGAAACGACUGCUAAUACCGCAUAAGCCCACGGCUCGGCAUCGAGCAGAGGGAAAAGGAGCAAUCCGCUUUGAGAUGGCCUCGCGUCCGAUUAGCUAGUUGGUGAGGUAACGGCCCACCAAGGCGACGAUCGGUAGCCGGACUGAGAGGUUGAACGGCCACAUUGGGACUGAGACACGGCCCAGACUCCUACGGGAGGCAGCAGUGGGGAAUAUUGCACAAUGGGGGAAACCCUGAUGCAGCGACGCCGCGUGGAGGAAGAAGGUCUUCGGAUUGUAAACUCCUGUUGUUGAGGAAGAUAAUGACGGUACUCAACAAGGAAGUGACGGCUAACUACGUGCCAGCAGCCGCGGUAAAACGUAGGUCACAAGCGUUGUCCGGAAUUACUGGGUGUAAAGGGAGCGCAGGCGGGAGAACAAGUUGGAAGUGAAAUCCAUGGGCUCAACCCAUGAACUGCUUUCAAAACUGUUUUUCUUGAGUAGUGCAGAGGUAGGCGGAAUUCCCGGUGUAGCGGUGGAAUGCGUAGAUAUCGGGAGGAACACCAGUGGCGAAGGCGGCCUACUGGGCACCAACUGACGCUGAGGCUCGAAAGUGUGGGUAGCAAACAGGAUUAGAUACCCUGGUAGUCCACACCGUAAACGAUGAUUACUAGGUGUUGGAGGAUUGACCCCUUCAGUGCCGCAGUUAACACAAUAAGUAAUCCACCUGGGGAGUACGACCGCAAGGUUGAAACUCAAAGGAAUUGACGGA